GAAGGGAACAGAGACGACUGAAGCCUGAUCCUUAAUUUGACUCGCAAGGAGAAACUCACCCCCGCCCCUGAGGUAAGGAUUGAAAGUUAGCUAGUUUGCACGUGAUUCGUUGGAUGGCGGCCCAUGGCCUUUUUUACUCUUUGGAACGAACUGUGUGGUUUAUUCCCUUUCCCCUAAGAACCGCAUAUCAAACUGGUUAUUAUGUUGUAUCUGGGAGUCCGCCUACUUAGAGGUAUUGAGGGCGUUUUCCCGAACGUUCAUACGCCAUUUAAGAUCGGCAUCAAAAUUAUAAGAACGUGCAGCAAACCAGAUGCAGUCCAGUGUUGACGUCUCUGUCUACGCCCCCUUUUGCCCCAAACCUAUAACCAAUUACCGCGAUAGGUUUCUAUGACCAACAGAAAUCGUCAGCGUGCGGAUUUGCGUGGGCCUGACUUUUUGGGUUACGACGUAAAGUUCAUCACUCAGGAAACGCCAUUCCCCCCGAAAGAACCGGCCUAUUAGGUCGGUAAGCCACUAGAG
rnacentral:rRNA from 1 species